CCUACGGGAGGCAGCAGUGGGGAAUAUUGCACAAUGGGGGAAACCCUGAUGCAGCGACGCCGCGUGAGGGAAGAAGUAUUUCGGUAUGUAAACUUCUAUCAGCAGGGAAGAAACUAACGGUACCUGAAUAAGGAGCCCCGGCUAACUACGUUCCAGCAGCCGGGGGAAGACGUAGGGGGGAAGCGUUAAACGGAAUUACCGGGGGGAAAGGGAGCGUAGGCGGCUUUGCAAGCCAGAAGUGAAAGGCCGGGGCCCAACUCCGGGACUGCUUUUGAAACUGUUGAACUAGAUUGCAGGAGAGGUAAGUGGAAUUCCUAGUGUAGCGGUGAAAUGCGUAGAUAUUAGGAGGAACACCAGUGGCGAAGGCGGCUUACUGGACUGUAAAUGACGCUGAGGCUCGAAAGCGUGGGGAGCAAACAGGAUUAGAUACCCCAGUAGUC
rnacentral:rRNA from 1 species